rnacentral:rRNA from 1 species
AAUAGAUACCCCGGUAGUCCACGCCGUAAACGAUGAGUGCUAGGUGUUAGGGGUUUCAAUACCCUUAGUGCCGCAGCUAACGCAAUAAGCACUCCGCCUGGGGAGUACAGUCGCAAGACUGAAACUCAAAGGAAUUGACGGGGGCCCGCACAAGCGGUGGAGCAUGUGGUUUAAUUCGAAGCAACGCGAAGAACCUUACCAGGUCUUGACAUCCCGCUGGCCGCUCUGGAGACAGAGCUUCCCUUCGGGGCAGCGGUGACAGGUGGUGCAUGGUUGUCGUCAGCUCGUGUCGUGAGAUGUUGGGUUAAGUCCCGCAACGAGCGCAGCCCUUAUCUUUAGUUGCCAGCAUUCAGUUGGGCACUCUAGAGAGACUGCCGUCGACAAGACGGAGGAAGGCGGGGAUGACGUCAAAUCAUCAUGCCCCUUAUGACCUGGGCUACACACGUGCUACAAUGGUUGGUACAACGGGAUGCUACCUCGCGAGAGGAUGCCAAUCUCUUAAAACCAAUCUCAGUUCGGU